GACGAACGCUGGCGGCGUGCUUAACACAUGCAAGUCGAACGGAGAUUCAGCAAUGGAUCUUAGUGGCGAACGGGUGAGUAACGCGUAGGCAAUCUGCCUUCUAGAUGGGGACAACAUCCCGAAAGGGGUGCUAAUACCGAAUGUUGUACCGUUUCCGCAUGGAGAUGAUACUAAAGGUGGCCUCUGAAUAUGCUACCGCUAGAAGAUGAGCCUGCGUCUGAUUAGCUAGUUGGAGGGGUAACGGCCCACCAAGGCUUCGAUCAGUAGCCGGUCUGAGAGGAUGAACGGCCACACUGGGACUGGGACACGGCCCAGACUCCUACGGGAGGCAGCAGUGGGGAAUCUUCCGCAAUGGACGAAAGUCUGACGGAGCAACGCCGCGUGAGUGAAGAAGGUUUUCGGAUCGUAAAGCUCUUUCGUUAGGGACGAACGUGCUCUUUGUGAAUAAUGAGGAGUAAUGACGGUACCUAAAUAAGAAGCCACGGCUAACUACGUGCCAGCCGCCGCCGUAA
rnacentral:rRNA from 1 species